UCAUACUCAACCACCGCGCACCACUCGCUAUUUUGUAUCAUCACUAUCCUGAAACGCGAGAUCAUCUGGCAAUACACAUCCAUAUAGAUAACUAGUAAAAAGUUGAUUGAAAAUGAAUCAAGCCAAGACAUCAUCUCGUCGUACAAAAUAUAUGUAACCACACUACUAUUGCAUUCUG
rnacentral:sRNA from 1 species